UUAGAGUUAGUCACAGGAAAAUGUUUUAAAGUGCAGACAGAUAAAAUCAUUAACUUUGCAGCAGUGAAAACAUAUUAAGCCACCCACGUUUAGUCAUUCGUGUCAUCAAAGUUAAUUUGUGCAAAUCAAGUUUAAUUUAAGUCUGAUGCCAACCUAAGUUUACAUGUCAAUCUUUUGGUUUCUUUCAUUUUAUUGGUUUAUUGAGCUGUAAUGUCCAAUUAGGUCGUAUCAGGUAGGCGUGGCUGUACCUGGAAGGUCCGAGAGAGACGAUUGGUCACUUGUGGAAGUGACGGAGGCAGACCCGGAACAAAUAAUUCGCGUGGAAAUAUUCUUCAAAAAAGUACACAGAGAGGCUUCUGGUUCGUUUUGGAAUCUUUGGAAGCCAAUGGAGACAGUGGCCCAAAGUCGCUCUGGUGAGAGGCUGCCGCAGACGCACCGUCAUCUCCAUGGUCUGCUUUGUCCUUCAGCUUGGCUGUCUGGUUGCCUCAGCCGCCAACAAGCUCACCGACGUGGUCGCCACAGUCAACCCGUUGAACUGACAUAAUAAACGUCUGUACUUUGCUGAGGACUUGGGCCAUCUCGAAGGUUCCGGUGGUAUCCAUGUUGGCGGCAAUGAUGGGGAUUCCCGA